GUCCUCAACAAACGCUGAGGACCGUUUUUUUUAUCUAGUGGCGGGCUGUUUUUUCAUUUUUUUCAAAGGGGUUUUGUUUUCAGAGAAUUCUGAAAUUUGGAGUCGUGCGUUGAUUUUAGGGAUUGUAUGUCCUUGAUAAGGCUGUUAAAAAGGGUCGAGAUCCACACCAA